rnacentral:snRNA from 1 species
GUGCUCACUUUGGCAGCAUAUAUAGUAACAUUUGAACGAUGCAAAAAAGAUUAGCAUGGACUCUGCCCAAGGAUGACAUACAAGUUUGUGAAGUACUCCAUUAGAAA